UACAGAGGGGUGCGAGCGUUGCUCGGAAUCACUGGGCGUAAAGGGCGCGUAGGCGGCCGAUUAAGUCGGGGGGUGAAAGCCUGUGGCUCAACCACAGAAUUGCCUCGAUACUGGUUGGCUUGAGACCGGAAGAGGACAGCGGAACUGCGAGUGUAGAGGUGAAAUUCGUAGAUAUUCGCAAGAACACCAGUGGCGAAGGCGGCUGUCUGGUCCGGUUCUGACGCUGAGGCGCGAAAGCGUGGGGAGCAAACAGG
rnacentral:rRNA from 1 species